AACGAACGCUGGCGGCAUGCCUAACACAUGCAAGUCGAACGAGAUCUUCGGGUCUAGUGGCGCACGGGUGCGUAACGCGUGGGAAUCUGCCCUUUGGUUCGGAAUAACAGUUGGAAACGACUGCUAAUGCCGGAUGAUGACGAAAGUCCAAAGAUUUAUCGCCAGAGGAUGAGCCCGCGUAGGAUUAGCUAGUUGGUGUGGUAAAGGCGCACCAAGGCGACGAUCCUUAGCUGGUCUGAGAGGAUGAUCAGCCACACUGGGACUGAGACACGGCCCAGACUCCUACGGGAGGCAGCAGUGGGGAAUAUUGGACAAUGGGCGAAAGCCUGAUCCAGCAAUGCCGCGUGAGUGAUGAAGGCCUUAGGGUUGUAAAGCUCUUUUACCCGGGAUGAUAAUGACUGUACCCACAGAAGAGGCCCCGGCUAACUCCGUGCCAGCCGCCGCGGUAACAC
rnacentral:rRNA from 1 species